GACGAACGCUGGCGGCGUGCUUAACACAUGCAAGUCGAACGGAAAGGCCCUGCUUUUGUGGGGUGCUCGAGUGGCGAACGGGUGAGUAACACGUGAGUAACCUGCCCUUGACUUUGGGAUAACUUCAGGAAACUGGGGCUAAUACCGGAUAGGAGCUCCUGCUGCAUGGUGGGGGUUGGAAAGUUUCGGCGGUUGGGGAUGGACUCGCGGCUUAUCAGCUUGUUGGUGGGGUAGUGGCUUACCAAGGCUUUGACGGGUAGCCGGCCUGAGAGGGUGACCGGCCACAUUGGGACUGAGAUACGGCCAAGACUGCUACGGGAGGCAGCAGUGGGGAAUAUUGAACAAUGGGCGGAAGCCUGAUGCAGCAACGCCGCGUGCGGGAUGACGGCCUUCGGGUUGUAAACCGCUUUCGCCUGUGACGAAGCGUGAGUGACGGUAAUGGGUAAAGAAGCACCGGCUAACUACGUG
rnacentral:rRNA from 1 species